GCGAUGGACUCAGAUCUAAGGCGGUUGGUCACUUCAUACGUUCUGAGGGUGACUCCAAAGAUGUCCUCGUGGUACCGGUUGUCAUCCUAUGAAGAGAAACAGCCAGGCCGGGGAGGGGGGAGUCAAAUGGCAGGGCGCGGUACACAGACUCAGCCAGCUGUUCCUGCAGCACGUCCUGUACAUAUUUCUGCAGAAGAGGAGGACCGUGAGCUACUGCCACUGUGAGAGGCUUCUGUGCCCCGCCCACCAGGAAGCCGCCCGUGGUGCAGGGGCUUGUGGGUAGGGAGCUAUUUUGUGAGCUAACCUCAGCAAUGAGGCAAGGGACUAGAAAGAGUGAAAUGGGACCAAACCACCAUGUGCGAAUGAGCUGAUUCCAGUCUUGGGCAGCCGGAGCUUGGCUGCUGAGGGUCCUCUGGGGAGCUGGGAGAGGAUUUGGGGGGGUGCUCUUUAGAUAACCUACGUUGGGAGCACCCCAGAACGCAUGGUUCAUCUUGACUGUCAACUUGAUAAACCUAGAGGUGUCUAGG